rnacentral:rRNA from 1 species
GAUGAACGCUGGCGGCGUGCCUAAUACAUGCAAGUCGAGCGAACAGAUAAGGUGCUUGCUCCUUUGACGUUAGCGGCGGACGGGUGAGUUACACGUGGAUAACCUACCUAUAAGACUGGGAUAACUUCGGGAAACCGGAGCUAAUACCGGAUAACAUCUUGAACCGCAUGGUUCAAUAGUGAAAGGCGGCUUUGCUGUCAUCUAUAGAUGGAUCCGCGCCGUAUUAGCUAGUUGGUAAGGUAACGGCCUACCAAGGCAACCAUACGUAGCGGACUGGGAUGGCGGAUCAGCAGAACUGGAACGGAACCCCGGUCCAGCCUCCUACGGGAGGCAGCAGUGGGGAAUCUUCCGCAAUGAGCGAAAGCCUGACGGACCAACGCGGCGGAAGUGAUGAAGGUCUUCGGAUCGUAAAACUCGGUUGUCAGGGAAAAACUUAGGUAUAAGUAACAGUGCAUAUAUUGACGGUACCUGAUCAGAAAGCCACGGCUAACUACGUG